GGCCCUAUCGUCUAGUCUGGUCUAGGACGUCGCCUUCUCAAGGCGAAAACUCGGGUUCAAAUCCCGAUAGGGUCAC
rnacentral:tRNA from 15 species